UACGGGGGGGGGCAAGCGUUGUUCGGAAUUACUGGGCGUAAAGGGCUCGUAGGCGGCCAACUAAGUCGGACGUGAAAUCCCCAGGCUCAACCUGGGAACUGCGUCCGAUACUGGAUGGCUUGAAUUCGGGAGAGGGAUGCGGAAUUCCAGGUGUAGCGGUGAAAUGCGUAGAUAUCUGGAGGAACACCGGUGGCGAAGGCGGCAUCCUGGACCGAAAUUGACGCUGAGGCGCGAAAGCCAGGGGAGCAAACGGG
rnacentral:rRNA from 1 species